AUGAACGCUGGCGGCGUGCCUAAUACAUGCAAGUCGAGCGAACAGACGAGGAGCUUGCUCCUCUGACGUUAGCGGCGGACGGGUGAGUAACACGUGGAUAACCUACCUAUAAGACUGGGAUAACUUCGGGAAACCGGAGCUAAUACCGGAUAAUAUAUUGAACCGCAUGGUUCAAUAGUGAAAGACGGUUUUGCUGUCACUUAUAGAUGGAUCCGCGCCGCAUUAGCUAGUUGGUAAGGUAACGGCUUACCAAGGCGACGAUGCGUAGCCGACCUGAGAGGGUGAUCGGCCACACUGGAACUGAGACACGGUCCAGACUCCUACGGGAGGCAGCAGUAGGGAACCUUCCGCAAUGGGCGAAAGCCUGACGGAGCAACGCCGCGUGAGUGAUGAAGGUCUUCGGAUCGUAAAACUCUGUUAUUAGGGAAGAACAAAUGUGUAAGUAACUAUGCACGUCUUGACGGUACCUAAUCAGAAAGCCACGGCUAACUACGUG
rnacentral:rRNA from 1 species